rnacentral:rRNA from 1 species
CCCUUAGAUGUUCUGGGCUGCACGCGCGCUACACUGACGCACGCAACAGGUGCCUGCUCCGAGAGGACUGGGUAAUCAUUUGAGUGUGCGUCGUGAUGGGGAUAGAAUAUUGUAAUUAUUACUCUUCAACGAGGAAUUCCUAGUAAGCGCCAGUCGGCAGCUUGCGCUGAUUACGUCCCUGCCCUUUGUACACACCGCCCGUCGCUCCUACCGAUGGGUGAUCCGGUGAAUGAUUCGGACUUCAGCGGCUCCCCUGGGGUGCGCCGGAGAAAGUUUUGUGAACCUUAUCACUUGGAGGAAGGAGAAGUCGUAACA